rnacentral:rRNA from 1 species
GGACCCGCACAAGCGGUGGAGCAUGUGGUUUAAUUCGAUGCAACGCGAAAAACCUUACCUACUCUUGACAUACUUGGGAGCUCUUGUAAUGAGAGUGUGCCUUAUGGAACCAAGAUACAGGUGCUGCAUGGCUGUCGUCAGCUCGUGUCGUGAGAUGUUCCGUUAAGUCGGAUAACGAGCGCAACCCUUACCCUUAUUUGCCAGCGAUUCGGUCGGGAACUAUAAGGGGACUGCCGGUGAUAAACCGGAGGAAGGUGAGGACGACGUCAAGUCAUCAUGGCCCUUACGAGUAGGGCUACACACGUGCUACAAUGGGGAAUACAGACGGACGCUAAGCCGCGAGGUGGUGCUAAUCCCAUAAACCGUGGCUCAGUUCAGAUCGUAGGCUGCAACUCGCCUACGUG